rnacentral:rRNA from 1 species
CCUACGGGAGGCAGCAGUGAGGAAUAUUGGUCGAUGGACGGAAGUCUGAACCAGCCAAGUCGCGUGAAGGAUGAAGGUUCUAUGGAUUGUAAACUUCUUUUGUCUGAGGGUAAAAAAGGCCACGUGUGGCUUCUUGCAAGUAUCAGACGAAUAAGCAUCGGCUAACUCCGUGCCAGCAGCCGCGGUAAU